rnacentral:lncRNA from 1 species
AUGGGGAUAGGUGGGGGGUGGGGCUGUUGAAUAAAUUUAAAAACUUUUUGCAAUGAAGUGCUAGAUGUUAUUUGUAGGGGUUAGACGGUCUACACGCAGUGCUUAACACUUAAAUAUUUGUAUAAAGCGUUUAGAAAAACGGGUAAACAUAAAAUAGGAAAUAAUACUUUUUUUUAUAUUGGUUCCAUUAUUUUUCUCUUUUAAGCACGUCCAAUUCUCUUUUAAGCUAUGUCCAAUUCUCUUUUAAGCACUAUUAAAGGGUUCCAUUAAAUUUUGAAAAGAUUACAACGAGUUUAACCACUUUUGGUUUAAAACAAGUAUAAUUACUCCUGGUAUCAAAUACUCUAAUUGAGUAUAUCGUUUAACUCCUAAGUUAAACAAACAGG